rnacentral:rRNA from 1 species
UGGGGAAUAUUGGACAAUGGGCGCAAGCCUGAUCCAGCCAUGCCGCGUGAGUGAUGAAGGCCUUAGGGUUGUAAAGCUCUUUUACCAGGGAUGAUAAUGACAGUACCUGGAGAAUAAGCUCCGGCUAACUCCGUGCCAGCAGCCGCGGUAAUACGGAGGGGGCUAGCGUUGUUCGGAAUUACUGGGCGUAAAGCGCGUGUAGGCGGGUCGUUAAGUUGGGGGUGAAAUCCCGAGGCUCAACCUCGGAACUGCCUUCAAAACUGGCGACCUGGACUCAAGCAGAGGCAAGUGGAAUUGCGAGUGUAGAGGUGAAAUUCGUAGAUAUUCGCAGGAACACCAGUGGCGAAGGCGACUUGCUGGGCUUGUAGUGACGCUGAGACGCGAAAGCGUGGGGAGCAAACAGGAUUAGAUACCCACGUAGUCCCUGAGCGGGCUGGCAAGGCGCAU